UUGAGAGGAAGUUUUUGACAAGCUAAUGGAUUUAUCUAAAGCUUCUUCCUCUCAAGUUCUCCCAGCUCUUUGAAGCGAGGUCUGUUCAUGUUGGCGGUGUCACAAUCCACAGAUCUGUUGGAACACAGUGCCUUUGAGGGGGAACAGAGUGUACGAGGGCGAGUGUGGCGACACCUCUAGCCUGUAUCCGUGGGAAUGGCUCCCAAGGCUUGAUUCCUCCACAGAUCUGUGCCCAGCCAUGGGUCUGGAGGACUUCUGAUUGCUGCCUGAUACCAGCCACAAGGUGACAGGGCUGCCUUAACAAAUCACCAUGAUUGGUUAAGCCACCAAAACAGCAAAUAUUAUUCUCUCAGGUUCUGGAGUCUACAAGUCUGAAAUCAAAGUAUUGGCAGGGCCAUGUUCCCUUUGAAGGAUUAAUUUAUCUCAAGAUCCUCAAUUGUAUCUGCAGAGACCCUAUUUCCCAAAAAGAUCACAUUCAGAAGUCCCCGGAACGUGCUGAUUGCAACCACGUGUGAUGCGUGUUCUUUCACCUGACGACAGCGCCUGAGAGACCCAAGACCCUGGGAAGUGCAUGCGCAUUUGUUGUUCAGACUCAUUCGGCGCAUGCCCGGCAUUCUGUCCUGUCCCAACACUGGGCUGCGACGGACUCAUCCCCUGCCUCCUGCUGUCUGCUGUUUGUUCUUUACCCGAGGACCUUUGAACUGAGAGUAAACCGGUGUUCUUUUUCACACGUUUCUCGUAGGACCAUGCAACUCUUAGCUCAAGCUAAAACCAGUUCAAGGUGGACAAAGCAGAGAGACCUCAGUUAUAAAGUGGAUGAGCUCUUUAUUUUGAAUUGGUCGAGCGAUUAUCCUGAACUGGAGAGGUGGUGGGAAGAGCCCAGUGUACGUCCAGCCCUGGGUCUUACUGGUUAGAUAAUGUCUUCAACGGGAUAGUCCCCAGAUAAGUAAUCUCUACACCCAACAUGGGGCUCGAACUCAUGACUGCGAGAUCAAGAGUCG